rnacentral:rRNA from 1 species
CAUACUUCCAAGAAAAGCUUGCACUGUCAUAGAUAAAAAACGCCUGUACCAUAACCGACACAGGUGGGUAGGUAGAGUAUACUAAGGGGCGCGAGAUAACUCUCUCUAAGGAACUCGGCAAAAUAACUCCGUAACUUCGGGAGAAGGAGUGCCUUAUUAUUAAGGCUGCAAUAACAAGAUCCAAGCAACUGUUUAUCAAAAACACAGGUCUCCGCUAAGUCGUAAGACGAUGUAUGGGGGCUGACGCCUGCCCAGUGCCAGAAGGUUAAAGAAGUUGGUUAGCAUUUGCGAAGCUGAUAACUGAAGCCCUGGUGAACGGCGGCCGUAACGAUAACGGUCCUAAGGUAGCGAAAUUCCUUGUCGGGUAAGUUCCGACCCGCACGAAAGGCGUAAUGAUUUGGAUACUGUCUCGGAGAGGGGCUCGGUGAAAUAGACUUGUCUGUGAAGAUGCGGACUACCUGCACCAGGACAGAAAGACCCUAUGAAGCUUUACUGUAACUUGAAAUUGAAAUUGGACUUUAUUCGCGCAGCAUAGGUGGGAGGCGUUGAUUAUAAUCUUGUGGGAUUAUUGGAGCCAUCAGUGAGAUACCACUCUUGUAAUGUUAGAUUUCUAACUUUGAAUCAUUAUCUGGUCAAAGAACAGUUUCAGGCGGGCAGUUUGACUGGGGCGGUCGCCUCCUAAACGGUAACGGAGGCGUACAAAGGUUUCCUCUGAACGGUUAGAAAUCGUAUCUAGAGUGUAAAGGCAUAAGGAAGCUUGACUGUGAGACCUACAAGUCGAGCAGGGACGAAAGUCGGUCUUAGUGAUCUGACGGUACUGAGUGGAAAGGCCGUCACUCAACGGAUAAAAGUUACUCUAAGGAUAUCAGGCUGAUCUCCCCCAAGAGUUCACAUCGACGGGGAGGUUUGGCACCUCGAUGUCGGCUCAUCGCAUCCUGGGGCGGUAGUACGUCCCAAGGGUUGGGCUGUUCGCCCAUAAAAGCGGUACGCGAGCUGGGUUCAGAACGUCGUGAGACAGUUCGGUCCAUAUCCGGUGUAGGCGUUAGAAUAUUGAGAGGAGCCUUCUUUAGUACGAGAGGACCGAGAAGGACAUACCUCUGGUGUACCAGUUAUCGUGCCAACGGUAAACGCUGGGUAGCUAUGUAUGGAGUGGAUAACCGCUGAAAGCAUCUAAGUGGGAAGCCCACCUCAAGAUAAGUA